rnacentral:rRNA from 1 species
GACGAACGCUGGCGGCGUGCUUAACACAUGCAAGUCGAACGGAAAGGCCCUGCUUUUGUGGGGUGCUCGAGUGGCGAACGGGUGAGUAACACGUGAGUAACCUGCCCUUGACUUUGGGAUAACUUCAGGAAACUGGGGCUAAUACCGGAUAGGAGCUCCUGCUGCAUGGUGGGGGUUGGAAAGUUUCGGCGGUUGGGGAUGGAUUCGCGGCUUAUCAGCUUGUUGGUGGGGUAGUGGCUUACCAAGGCUUUGACGGGUAGCCGGCAUGAGAGGGUGACCGGCCUCAUUGGGACUGAGAUACGGCGCAGACGCCUACGUGAGGCAGCAGUGGGGAAUAUUGCACAAUGGGCGGAAGUCUGAUGCAGCAACGCCGCGUGCGGGAAGACGGCCUACGGGUUGUAAACCGCUUUCGCCUGUGACGAAGCGUGAGUGACGGUAAUGGGUAAAGAAGCACCGGCUAACUACGUG